GGCUCUAUAUGCCUUAAAGGCACCAGAUUCUGUCUGAAUUUGGAAGCUAAGUAGGGUCAGCCUUGGUUAGUAUUGGGAUGGGAGGUUACCAAGAAAUAUUAGGUACUGGAGACU
rnacentral:rRNA from 1 species